rnacentral:rRNA from 1 species
UACAGAGGUCCCAAGCGUUGUUCGGAUUCACUGGGCGUAAAGGGUGCGUAGGUGGCCAGGUAAGUUCGGUGUGAAAGCUCGGAGCUUAACUCCGAAAUGGCAUUGAAUACUAUCUGGCUAGAGGGUCGGAGGGGAGACUGGAAUUCUCGGUGUAGCAGUGAAAUGCGUAGAUAUCGAGAGGAACACCAGUGGCGAAGGCGAGUCUCUGGACGACACCUGACACUGAGGCACGAAAGCGUGGGUAGCAAACAGG